CUCUUCCCCUUCUAAAAUUUCAAAGGAUCGAGAGCUAGAGAGAUCCGACCUUCUCUCCCUUCGAUUUUCCGGCGUCGUCCCUGUUACUAUCACCGGUGUGGGUGCUGCUGGAGUUUCUUCCAUUGUUAUAAAGGUUUAAUUUGUGAAUGCUUUCUCUCCUCUGCUUCGUAUCAGAUCACUCAACCUUGCUAGUCGUCCAGCUCGUCCUUCUAUCCAUCGCUGUCACUGUUGGAGUCGCCGUUCAUUCGCCACUACAAGGAGUUCCGAGGAGGUCAUGAAUUCUUUAUCUAUUUCUGUGUGGCAUCACUAUCGAAGCCAUCCUUCCCCAGUUUUGCUUCGUGUCAUCUGAGCUUCUUCCUUCUCCUCUGUUCCUGUCACGGUGUGGGAGUGUGUUGGACGUUCUUCUUCUCCCUCCUUUGUGCCCGCAUGAUUUGUAUUCCGUGCUCCUUGAUUCUAGUGUUACUAAGAUUUCAGUCUCAGAUACCUUAGCUGACGUUGAUCUUCUUGCCGAUCCUUGAGCACUUAUAAACAGGUGGAGGGUUGAUUGAAAUUUUUCUUUUGAUGUAAUUAUAAAUGUUUCUAUAUCUUAUUUUUAUUUUAUUUUUGAAAAGUACGAUUAGGUGCUCCACAUAAGCUAUAACUAGGACUUUUGUUUUUAUAUAUAUGCUGUCUGUCGGUUGGAAAGAGCUAAGCUCCUGAUUUAUUUGAUAUUUUGGACUUUUGUUUCUA